GGAGCAACGCCGCGUGAGUGAUGAAGGUUUUCGGAUCGUAAAGCUCUGUUGCCAGGGAAGAACGUCUUGUAGAGUAACUGCUACAAGAGUGACGGUACCUGAGAAGAAAGCCCCGGCUAACUACGUGCCAGCAGCCGCGGUAAUACGUAGGGGGCAAGCGUUGUCCGGAAUUAUUGGGCGUAAAGCGCGCGCAGGCGGCUCUUUAAGUCUGGUGUUUAAUCCCGAGGCUCAACUUCGGGUCGCACUGGAAACUGGGGAGCUUGAGUGCAGAAGAGGAGAGUGGAAUUCCACGUGUAGCGGUGAAAUGCGUAGAGAUGUGGAGGAACACCAGUGGCGAAGGCGACUCUCUGGGCUGUAACUGACGCUGAGGCGCGAAAGCGUGGGGAGCAAACAGGAUUAGAUACCCGGGUAGU
rnacentral:rRNA from 1 species